AAUUUUUUUUUAUGUGUUCUAAAAGUGUUCCGCUAAUUCAGCAAUCUAAUGAAUCUGUCUUAAUUUUUCUGAAAUCGUGCUUAAUUAUUAUUAGCUAAUCGGCGCUACACCGUUGUUCAAAUACUUAUAAUUGCAAGAAACCCCCGACUAGGACCAGCAGUCAUUGAUGUUAGCAUGUACUACACAAAGAAAAACAGGCAAAGCAUGAAGCCAAAGGAAAUGUUUUUACCAAGGCAUGUUCCUCAAUAGCGGAGAGAGUUUUAUCCAGUGUCGGUUCUGCAGAAGAACCCAUUCAUAGCAGACCACCCAUUGCAGCACUUGUAAGGUCGCUAUAAAGAACCCGACAGACUCUGCGACCAAAAGAUCCCACUGACGUGUCGUCAAGCCUUGACGAAGAUUUCAUCGAUCAUAGUGCACCGGGAUUUUAUCAAAAAAGAGUAAAAGUUGGGGAAAGGCGCCAUCACAUUUUUUGUACUGAUAGACAGAUGCAACUACUCGCACGCGCAAAAACUUGGUAUAUGGAUGCAACUUUUCGGGUGGUGAACAAGCCAUGGUCUCAGCUGUUUUCCAUACACGCCUUCAUUAAGACUGGAGAGACCACCCGACAGUUACCAUUGGUGUUUUGUGUAAUGUCGGGUAAAAGCCAAGACGACUAUUAUAAGUUUCCAUAUUAGAUGCCAUAGCAAAUCAAAGAUCAUAUAAUAAAAUAAGUCAAAAAACCCAAAUAUGGAAAAAGAAAGAGCUGAAGAAAUGGUGAUUUGAGCACCUAUGCUUUCUCAUAGGUGUUUUUGGAGGUUUCCAUAUUAGAUGCCAUAGCAAAUCAAAGAUCAUAUAAUAAAAUAAGUCAAAAAACCCAAAUAUGGGAAAAGAAAGAGCUGAAGAAAUGGUGAUUUGAGCACCUAUGAUUUCUCAUAGGUGUUUUUGGAGGGUGAGUGUUCAAUUCUAAUAGAAAAGAUUGUUGUUGUGGUAUUUAUAGAAUCUCACCAUAAUGUGUUUGGCACAAUAUAGCCCGGUUGGACCUGAUGUGACAUAAACCUCGAUUUCAUUUUAAUAUUUUGAAAUUUAAAAUUCAGUUUAGUAUAGUAAAACUGUACACUUACAUGUAUGUGCACAGACAGAAUCUUACUUAUGUCCAGAUACAUGUAGAUAUGACUAUCUCAUCUGUGGGGACCCAUGGUUAACUACAUGAGAAAGAUCAAGACAGUUGGAAAUGGCUAUUCAUAUUAUGGAAACUUUUUCUCACAGAGCUUGAUAAUCAGGUAAAAUGCUGGAAGAUUAUUUGAUGUAUGAUAACAACAAGAGAUCCCAAGCAUCAAUUUAUUUUAUAAUUCUGGAAAAGAAUGCAUUUGACCCAAUUUUUGAAUAUUUUUUUUUGUUUUUACUGUUAAAUAUUCAUCCCAAACACAAUUAGAUUUUAAUUCUCUACAGAAAUUUAUGUAUAAUAUAGAAUGUAAAGUGACAUAUAAAUCACUUAGAAUUUGGUCGGAAAUCAUAAAGUAUUUAAUAGGCAUAGUCUAGAAACCAAAUGUAGAUCAAAUAUACCCAGAAUUACAAAAAACCUUGACCUACAUUAAGGUGACUUUCCCUUGCUUAUGAAAUGAAAUAGGGUUUAAUAUCCUACUUUUCUGUGUUAUUAUGGUGAUUCUGCCCUACAACCUACUCUUAUAUCAAAUAUUUCAUCUGUCAAGGGUUGUUUAAAGGGAACCCAGGAGGGCCGAAUGGUUAACACACGCACAUUGGAUCAGAAGGGUCUGUCAUUGAGUCAGAUAAUUCAAUUGUCAAGGGUUCUUUAAAGUAAACGCAGUGGGGGUAGUUUCAAUUCUGGGCUUAUACCCAAUUAUCCCUUGCCAUGUCCUACACUACUGACGUGUGGGAACUAUGUCGGAAAAUCCAGUUGAAAUUUCUCGGCCAAUGCACUCACUGAACCACAGUGGCUCCUCCUUGCUUUUGACUUGUGAUUAUUUAUAUAUAUUUUGUACAUAUUAUUUAAUGUUUGCGAUUUUCUCUGAUAUUUUUUUAUUUUUCAAUCCUGUAAUCUUGAUGCUUUGCUCCUUUUAUGUACAAAAUAUUCAUUUUGUUUGAGGAAAAGGUUCUACAUCAUUUUAUUACUCCUGCAAAAUAGUGCAUUUUUCUUUUGUUAGUUUUCUGUGUAUGCUAGUUAUUUCUAGAUGCCUCACAAAUCACUUGUAAUAUGACUUUGUAGCACUUUUCAGUUUCUGAAAGUAUUUCAAUUUAGUGCAUAAUUAAUCUAAUUAGGGCUUGGUUUGGAUGUUAUUAAAUUUAGAUAUAUUUGAAUUAUAUAUUUUUGUGGUAUGGGGUAGGGAUCUUUCUUUUCUCAGUUCUUGUUUUCGGGUAAAGAAAAAAUUAAAUAGCUAUUUUGAAUUUUGUGAUGUGGGGGGGAGGGAGGCAAAGUAUAACAAAAUUUUUAUUAGUAUUAGAAUUAUAUCUCUGUUUUUCUGUUAACAUUUCAAAUGAUGUCUAUUUAGUUUU